rnacentral:lncRNA from 1 species
GUUGAACUUUGAUCCAGGCAGACUGACCUCAGUUUUACCCAUCUGUAGAACAUGGCAGAGUAGCGGCUGCCAUGUAUGAUGACUUUACUACUAUCAUUUGUGUGAUGCAUGCUCAGUAAUACCAAAAAUAACAAUGUUUAUGGAGAAGAGAUGGUCAUUAGUCUGCAUUCUCCUGGGCUCAGGACUAAAAAGGAUUUGAGCAGGUAGCUGGUCAGUUUAUUUGCUACCCUUUCAAAUGGAUGGAAAUAAAACUAAGCCGGAUGUUUUUACGGAUUGAUCCCCUUGUGUGUUUUGCAGCCAAACCCGAGUAUAUCGGGUCACAAGUGACAUGAGGAGGGAUGCGAAGCAAGAGAGGCUGGACAAAGUGAGGAACAGCAUCUCCAGGGUCAUGUUUGAAGCAAUUAAUGACGCUGACAGCAGCCAGUCCAGCACUAGUCUUCACACCUCAAACUCAAUGUUUUAGACACGAGCAGGUAACAAAGCUUACUUCCAGCUAAUCCUUCUUCUCCCCUUCCCUCUUUGUGUUGUCCACUUCCAUUACCAAAAUCUAAGUCUAGAUUAGAAACAAUAAAGAAGAACUGUGAUUAGGGGCUCA